CCUCAUUUCUUCUUUUUCCUUUUCCUGCGUCUCUUCUCUCUGUUUUUUUUCUUUUCUUUUCUCUCUCUCAAACCCUCAUGCUUCAACUCCAUAAUCGGAAGCUAAGGCUUGAGAAUCUCGCAACAAGGCAAGAAGAAAACGUGAUCUACGGAUAGAGGGCUACGCAUCUAUCCGAACAAAAUCUUGAUCGGCCAACUUUGGAGUUCCUAGCAAAUUCGGAGGUUUUCAUUUUUGAGCCGGAAGCAUAUGGAUAAUGAGUUUAUCCGUCGGUGUAUAGUCCGUAAACCCGCGCGGGAUAAGGUGUUCCAUAGGCCUUUAGGUUAGUAGCCCAUAAAUUUGGAUGAUUAGGGACCUGAUCAGUCGCCUAGGAUUGGUACACAACUUGUUAAUUUGGACUAUUGGUCUUAUGUGCUCUUAUUUUCUCCUAUUGACUUAUAAUUUGAUGUGUUUUAUGUUUGAAGGAUUUUGGAUAUAUGAGAUGAGAUGAGCUUACGUGGUUUGGUUAUGACUUGGUAUUUGGAGAUUUGGAUUAUUAUCUGAACGGAUUAUUUUUAUCAUUAUUUCUGUUGGAUACUUGAGAAGUAAAAGUUAUUAUGUAUUCAUUUGUUCUAAGUUACGAUAUAUCCAAUGGUUAUCUUUUGAGGCUUAAUAAAAUGCAAGUUUUUGUAGAAUAUUGUAUAUACUCACGAA